GGAAGGAUCAUUACCGAGUGCGGACCCCUCGCGGUCCAACCUCCCACCCGUGUCUACUUGAAUACCCUGUUGCUUUGGCGGGCCCACCGGGUUCCCCGGUCGCCGGGGGACGCUCCUGUCCCCGGGCCCGCGCCCGCCGAAGCGCCCACAGAACCCUUUUGUGAAGAUGGACUGUCUGAGCAUGAGUGAUAAUGAAUCAAAACUUUCAACAAUGGAUCUCUUGGUUCCGGCAUCGAUGAAGAACGCAGCGAAAUGCGAUAAGUAAUGUGAAUUGCAGAAUUCCGUGAAUCAUCGAAUCUUUGAACGCACAUUGCGCUCCCUGGCAUUCCGGGGAGCAUGCCUGUCCGAGCGUCAUUUCUGCCCUCAAGCGCGGCUUGUGUGUUGGGCGCUGGUCCCCCCGGUCCUCGGGGGGACCUGCCCGAAAGGCAGCGGCGACGUUCCCGCCCAGGUCCUCGAGCGUAUGGGGCUUUGUCACCCGCUCGGGACGGACCCGCGGAGCGUUGGUCAUCCACCCCCAUUUUUUUACGGUUGACCUCGGAUCAGGUAGGAGUUACCCGCUGAACUUAAGCAUAUCAAUAAGCGGAGGAAAAGAAACCAACAGGGAUUGCCUCAGUAACGGCGAGUGAAGCGGCAAGAGCUCAAAUUUGAAAUCUGGCCCCUUGGGGGUCCGAGUUGUAAUUUGGAGAGGAUGCUUCGGGUGUGGUCCCUAUCUAAGUGCCCUGGAACGGGCCGUCAUAGAGGGUGAGAAUCCCGUCUGGGAUAGGCGGCCGCGCCCGUGUGAAGCUCCUUCGACGAGUCGAGUUGUUUGGGAAUGCAGCUCUAAGCGGGUGGUAAAUUUCAUCUAAAGCUAAAUACUGGCCGGAGACCGAUAGCGCACAAGUAGAGUGAUCGAAAGAUGAAAAGCACUUUGAAAAGAGAGUUAAACAGCACGUGAAAUUGUUGAAAGGGAAGCGUUGGCCACCAGACGCGUCCAGGGGGGUUCAGCCGGCACGUGUGCCGGUGCACUUCCCCCUGGAUGGGCCAGCAUCGGUUUGGGCGGUCGCUGAAAGGCCCCGGGAAUGUAGCACCCUCCGGGGUGCCUUAUAGCCCGGGGUGUCAUGCGGCCCGCCUGGACCGAGGCCCGCGCUUCGGCGAGGAUGCUGGCGUAAUGGUGGUCAACGGCCCGUCUUGAAACACGGACCAAGGAGUCUAACAUCUAUGCGAGUGUUCGGGUGUCAAACCCGUCCGCGCAGUGAAAGCGAACGCAGGUGGGAACCCCUCGGGGCGCACCAUCGACCGAUCCUGAUGUCUUCGGAUGGAUUUGAGUAAGAGCAUAGCUGUUGGGACCCGAAAGAUGGUGAACUAUGCCUGAAUAGGGCGAAGCCAGAGGAAACUCUGGUGGAGGCUCGCAGCGGUUCUGACGUGCAAAUCGAUCGUCAAAUUUGGGUAUAGGGGCGAAAGACUAAUCGAACCAUCUGGUAGCUGGUUCCUGC
rnacentral:misc_RNA from 1 species